GUCGAGAAUCUUCCGCAAUGCGCGAAAGCGUGACGGAGCGACACCGCGUGAUGGAUGAAGUCCUUCGGGGCGUAAACAUCUUUUAUAAAGGAGGAAAUUUUUGACGUUACUUUAUGAAUAAGGGGCUCCCAAUCUCGUGCCAGCAGGAGCGGUAAUACGAGAGCCUCAAGCGUUAUCCGGAAUCAUUGGGCGUAAAGGGUGCGUAGGUGGUUUGAUUAGUCUCCCGUUAAAACUUCGAGCUUAACUCGAAAAGAGCGGGGGAAACGGUAAAACUAGAGUAUGUGAGAGGUGUGUGGAACUCAUGGUGUAGGGGUGAAAUCCGUUGAUAUCAUGGGGAACACCAAAAGCGAAGGCAGCACACUGGCACAUCACUGACACUGAGGCACGAAACCUAAGGUAGCGAAUGGGAUUAGAAACCCCUGUAGUCC
rnacentral:rRNA from 1 species